GAAAUGCGAUAAGUAAUGUGAAUUGCAGAAUUCCGUGAAUCAUCGAAUCUUUGAACGCACAUUGCGCCCUCUGGCAUUCCGGGGGGCAUGCCUGUCCGAGCGUCAUUACGCACCCUCAAGCCCGGCUUGUGUGAUGGGCCCCGGCGUCUCGUUCGCGAGACGGGCCCGAAAGGCAGCGGCGGCGUCGACCCGAUGAGCCCGAGCAUAUGGGGACUUCUGUCACACGUUCGCGGUGCGGACCGGCGCCUGCUUUGACUUUUCUGAUUAUCCAGGUUGACCUCGGAUCAGGUAGGGAUACCCGCUGAACUUAAGC
rnacentral:misc_RNA from 1 species